AUCUAUCUGACGAGUCCCAAAUAGGAUGAAAAGUGCGUCCUGGAU
rnacentral:hammerhead_ribozyme from 1 species